UGCGCAGGCGGAAUGAUAAGUCAGUGGUGAAAUCCUACGGCUCAACCGUAGAACUGCCAUUGAUACUGCUGUUCUUGAGUACAGUUGAGGUAGGCGGAAUGUAGCAUGUAGCGGUGAAAUGCAUAGAUAUGCUACAGAACACCAAUAGCGAAGGCUGCUUACCAAACUGAAACUGACGCUCAGGCACGAAAGCGUGGGGAGCAAACAGGAUUAGAUACCCUGGUAGUCC
rnacentral:rRNA from 1 species